AGUCGAACGGUAGAGUAGCAAUACUCGAGAGUGGCGAACGGGUGAGUAAUAUAUCGGAACGUGCCCAGUCGUGGGGGAUAACGUAAAGAAAUUUACGCUAAUACCGCAUACGAUCUAAGGAUGAAAGCGGGGGACUUCGCAAGAGGCCUCGCGCGAUUGGAGCGGCUGAUAUCAGAUUAGGUUGUUGGUGAGGUAAAAGCUCACCAAGCCGACGAUCUGUAGCUGGUUUGAGAGAACGACCAGCCGCACUGGGACUGAGACACGGCCCAGACUCCUACGGGAGGCAGCAGUGGGGAUUUUGGACAAUGGGCGAAAGCCUGAUCCAGCAAUGCCGCGUGUGGGAAGAGGCCUCGGGUUGUAACCACUUUUGUACGGAACGAACGGCUCGCCUUAAUACGGCGGGCUAUGACGGUACCGUAAGAUAGCACCGGCUACUACGUGCCGGCAGCCGCGGUAUACGUAGGUGCGAGCGUAAUCGGAUUACUGGCGUAAGCGUGCGCAGCGUUAUAUAGACAGUUGUGAAUC
rnacentral:rRNA from 1 species